GAUGAACGCUGGCGGCGUGCCUAAUACAUGCAAGUCGAGCGAACGGACGAGAAGCUUGCUUCUCUGAUGUUAGCGGCGGACGGGUGAGUAACACGUGGAUAACCUACCUAUAAGACUGGGAUAACUUCGGGAAACCGGAGCUAAUACCGGAUAAUAUUUUGAACCGCAUGGUUCAAAAGUGAAAGACGGUCUUGCUGUCACUUAUAGAUGGAUCCGCGCUGCAUUAGCUAGUUGGUAAGGUAACGGCUUACCAAGGCAACGAUGCAUAGCCGACCUGAGAGGGUGAUCGGCCACACUGGAACUGAGACACGGUCCAGACUCCUACGGGAGGCAGCAGUAGGGAAUCUUCCGCAAUGGGCGAAAGCCUGACGGAGCAACGCCGCGUGGGUGAUGAAGGUCUUCGGAUCGUAAAACUCUGUUAUUAGGGAAGAACAUAUGUGUAAGUAACUGUGCACAUCU
rnacentral:rRNA from 1 species